rnacentral:lncRNA from 1 species
UUCAAGCCCAUAACCCUGAAAUCAAGAGUUACAUGCUCUCCUGAUGGAGCCAGCCAAGCACCCCCACCCCAGUAGCUUUUUAAAUGGAAACUGACACAGUGAUCCUAAAAUUUAUAUAGAAAUGCAAAGUAUGGUCAAAGCAUUUCAAAAAAGAAAAAUGAAGUUGGAAUACUUACAUAACCUGAUUUCAAAAUUUGCUAUGAUACUAUGAAUUGAUAGUGUGUGAUACUGAUGCAAGGACAGACAGACAUAUAGAUCAGUGGGUGAAAAUCGAGACUAAAACUUCUAGCAAAAAACAUAAGAGAAAAUCUUGAUAACUUUGGGUUGGGCAAAGUAUUCUUAGAUAAGGCAUCAAAAACACGGCACUUGAAAGACAAAAAGGAUCAACUGGACGUCACCAAAAUUAAACAUUUGCUCCUUAAAAUAUCAUUAAGAAAAAUAUUUUAACAAGCUACAAGCUAGGAGAAAAAUAAACAGAAUCAUGGAUCUUAUUAAGGACCAUAUACAGAAGAAAUAAAAAACUCUUAAACUUACUAAUAAGACAGUUUGCCUAAUUUUUAAAUGGGCUAAAGAUUCGAAUAGAUAUUUCACUAAAGAAAGUACACAACUGUCUAAUUAGCAUGUGGAAAGAUACCCAAAUCAUUACUCAUUAGGGAAAUGCAAAUUAAUACCACAAAUGAGAUUACUAUGCCAGAAGAGCUAUGAUGUAAAAGAGAGAAAAUACUAAGAUCGGUAAGGAUAUGAAAGAACUGGAACCUUCAUACGUUGUUGAUAGGUAUGUAAAAUGUUACAGACACAUUGGAAAAUAGUUUGACAGUUUCUUCAAAAUUUAAACACACAUUUACCAUUCAACCCAGUGAUCCACUCUGAGGAAUCUACCCCAGAGAUAAAAACAUACAUCCACACCAAGACUUGUAUGUGAAUAGUUACAGCAGGCAUUAUUCCUAACAGUCAAAAAACUGGAAACAACCCAAAUAUCUGUUAACUGAUAAAUGCAUACACACAAUAUGGUACAACCACACAAGAAAAUACAUCACUCAGCAGCCAGGGUGAACUUUAGAAAGUGCAAAUUAGACUUGUGAUUUUAAGGCUCAAUAUCUAAGAGAAUUGUGCUAACUUUAUUAACAGGUUUAAAAUAUGCAAGACUAGGGACGCCUGGAUGGCUCAGUGGUUGAGCUCUGCUUUUGGCUCAGGUUGUGGUCCUGGAGUUCAGGGAUCGAGUCCCACAUCAGGCUCCCUGAGGGGAGCCUGCUUCUCCCUCUGCCUGUGUCUCUGCCUCUGUGUGUGUGUGUGUGUCUCUCAUGAAUAAAUAAAAUCUCUAAAAAAUUUUUUUAAAUAAAAAUAAAAUAAAAUAUGCAAGACUAUAUAAAUUUGUAUAAUGUUAUACGUCAGUACCUGUAUAAGUCAUGCUGGAGUUGACACACACUGUUGCUGACCUGACUCACCUCACUGGUGUGAAGCAGCAUCCGGGUUUGCUUGUACUUUCGAUUCUCUUUCAAUUUUCCUUACUCCUGUGCAUGUGCUUAGUGGUGUGUUUAGUUAAAGGAUGCCAGUUUCUAUAGGAUACCCAUGUGGACAAGGUCAAAGGCAAUAAGAACAAACACAGGUUUCAGUCUGUCCCAGUGGGACAGUAUUCCUUAUGUUCAUGAGAUACUAGCCUGCUUGUGAUCUUCCCUUCCUGCCUACAGACUUCAAAGGUUUGACUGGGAUCGGGUCUGCUUGCAAGUUCGUGUAGCUAUCAGAGCAUUUAGUUUCUUACAAGUUGUCAAAAUGAGAUAUUCAUUUUCUUAUCAGUUGGAGGCUGCCUUCAGCUCUUUGCAGUGUGGCCCUCUCCAUAUGGCAGCUCAAAACAUGGCAGCUUGCUCUUUCAAAGCCAGCAAGGGAGAGGGAGUCUUCUAGCGAGGUGGAUUAUAAUCUUAGGUAAUAGGGUCAUGUACAAAUAAUCGCAUAUAUCCCAUUGUCUUCACUAAACUCUACUACUUAGAAGAAAGUCACAGGCCCCAUUAACACUCAAGGGGAAAAAAUAAAUAAAUAAAAUUUAAAAAUUUAAAAAGUAAAAAUUAAAAAAAAAAAAAAAA